ACGAACGCUGGCGGCGUGCCUAAUACAUGCAAGUCGAGCGAAUCUUUGGGAGCUUGCUCCCAAAAGUUAGCGGCGGACGGGUGAGUAACACGUGGGCAACCUGCCUAUAAGACUGGGAUAACUUCGGGAAACCGGAGCUAAUACCGGAUAAUUCAUAUCUACUCAUGUAGGUAUGCUGAAAGACGGUUUACGCUGUCACUUAUAGAUGGGCCCGCGGCGCAUUAGCUAGUUGGUGAGGUAACGGCUCACCAAGGCGACGAUGCGUAGCCGACCUGAGAGGGUGAUCGGCCACACUGGGACUGAGACACGGCCCAGACUCCUACGGGAGGCAGCAGUAGGGAAUCUUCCGCAAUGGACGAAAGUCUGACGGAGCAACGCCGCGUGAGUGAUGAAGGUUUUCGGAUCGUAAAACUCUGUUGUUAGGGAAGAACAAGUACUAGAGUAACUGCUAGUACCUUGACGGUACCUAACCAGAAAGCCACGGCUAACUACGUG
rnacentral:rRNA from 1 species